ACGCUGGCGGNGCGCCUUAUGCAUGCAAGUCGAACGGGGUUACGGUUUUCGGAUUGUAACCUAGUGGCGAACGGCUGAGUAACACGUAAGUAACCUGCCUUGGAGUGGGAAAUAACCUGUCGAAAGACAGGCUAAUGUCCCAUGUUGUAACGAAGCAUAAGCCUUGUUACCAAAGCCUUCGGGUGCUCCGAGAAGGGCUUGCGUCCGAUUAGCUAGUUGGUGGGGUAAUGGCCUACCAAGGCGAUGAUCGGUAGCUGGUCUGAGAGGAUGGCCAGCCAGAUGGGGACUGAGGCACGGCCCCAACUCCUACGGGAGGCAGCAGCAAGGAAUUUAGGGCAAUGAGCGAAAGCUUGACCCAGCGACACCGCGUGAGGGAGGAAGGCCUUCGGGUCGUAAACCUCUUUUCUUGGGGAAGAAUUUUGACGGUACCCAAGGAAUAAGCCUCGGCCAACUACGUGCCAGCAGCCGCGGUAAUACGUAGGAGGCGAACGUUAUUCGGAUUUACUGGCGUAAAGGGAGCGUAGGCGGUCACUUAAGUCAGGUGUGAAAUCUUUUGACUUAAUCAGAAGGCGCCACCUGAUACUGGGCGACUUGAGAGCAGCAGAGGGAAAUGGAAUCCCCAGUGUAGCGGUGAAAUGCGUAGAUAUUGGGGAGAACACCAGUGGCGAAAGCGAUUUUCCAGGCUGUUUCUGACGCUGAAGCUCGAGAGCGUGGGGAGCGAANCGGAUUAUAUACCCGCGUAGUCCACGCCCUAAACGGUGGACACUAGAUAUAGGANGCAUCGACCCUUUCUGUGUCGAAGUAACGCUUUNAGUGUCCCGCCUGGGGAGUACU
rnacentral:rRNA from 1 species